AGAGUUUGAUCCUGGCUCAGGAUGAACGCUGGCGGCGUGCCUAAUACAUGCAAGUCGAACGGGUGUAGCAAUACAUUAGUGGCGAACGGGUGAGUAACACGUUGGUGACCUGCCCUAAAGAGGGGAAUACCACUUCGAAAGGAGUGACAAUACCGCAUAAGUUUACGCGAGUUAGAGGAGCGUAAAUAAAGGAGAAAUCCGCUUUAGGAGGGGCCUGCGGCCCAUCAGCUAGUUGGUGAGGGUAAAAGCCCACCAAGGCGAAGACGGGUAGGGGACCUGAGAGGGUGAUCCCCCACAAUGGAACUGAAACACGGUCCAUACACCUGCGGGUGGCAGCAGUAGGGAAUAUUGCUUAAUGGGCGAAAGCCUGAAGCAGCAACGCCGCGUGAACGAAGAAGGCCUUCGGGUCGUAAAGUUCUUUUAUAUGGGAUGAGGAAGGACAGUACCAUAUGAAUAAGUCUCGGCUAACUACGUGCCAGCAGCCGCGGUAAAACGUAGGAGACGAGCGUUAUCCGGAUUUACUGGGCGUAAAGCGCGUGUAGGAGGCGCUACAAGUUGGAUGUGAAAGCUCCCGGCUUAACUGGGAGAGGUCGUACAAAACUGUAGAGCUAGAGGAAGGCAGAGGUAGAUGGAACUCCGGGAGUAGUGGUGAAAUGCGUAGAUAUCCGGAAGAACACCAGAGGCGAAAGCGAUCUACUGGGCCUUAACUGACACUGAGACGCGAAAGCCAGGGUAGCAAACGGGAUUAGAGACCCCGGUAGUCCUGGCCGUAAACGAUGUAGACUAGGCGUUUGUGGGGUAAAACUCAUGAGUGCCGGAGCUAAC
rnacentral:rRNA from 1 species